CCUACGGGGGGCUGCAGUAAGGAAUAUUGGUCAAUGGACGAAAGUCUGAACCAGCCAUCCCGCGUGCAGGAUGAAAGCCCUAUGGGUUGUAAACUGCUUUUCGCAGAGAAGAAAAGCUUUCAUUAAUGAGAGUCUGACGGUAUCUGCAGAAUAAGCACCGGCUAACUCCGUGCCAGCAGCCGCGGUAAUACGGAGGGUGCGGGCGUUAUCCGGAAUUACUGGGUUUAAGGCGUACGAAGACGGCAGUUGUGAAAUCUGGUCGCUUAACGAUAAAAGGGCCAAUGAUACUGGUACUCUUGAAUUGGGUUGAGGUGAGCGGAAUGUGACAUGUAGCGGUGAAAUGCAUAGAUAUGGCAUGGAACACCAAUUGCGAAGGCAGCUAACUGGGCCUUGAUUGACGCUGAGGCACGAAAGCGUGGGUAGCGAACAGGAUUAGAUACCCCUGUAGUC
rnacentral:rRNA from 1 species